UACGUAGGUGGCAAGCGUUGUCCGGAUUUACUGGGCGUAAAGAGCGCGCAGGCGGUCGGAUAAGUCGAAUGUGAAAGCCCCCGGCUCAACUGGGGAGGGUCAUUCGAUACUGUUCGACUCGAAGGCAGGAGAGGGAAGUGGAAUUCCCGGUGUAGUGGUGAAAUGCGUAGAUAUCGGGAGGAACGCCAGUGGCGAAGGCGACUUCCUGGCCUGUUCUUGACGCUGAGGCGCGAAAGCUAGGGGAGCAAACGGG
rnacentral:rRNA from 1 species